rnacentral:rRNA from 1 species
CUACGGGAGGCAGCAGUGAGGAAUAUUGCACAAUGGGGGGAACCCUGAUGCAGCAACGCCGCGUGGGGGAUGACGCAUUUCGGUGUGUAAACUCCUUUUAUAUGUCAAGAAAAUGACGGUAGCAUAUGAAUAAGCACCGGCUAACUCCGUGCCAGCAGCCGCGGUAAUACGGAGGGCGCAAGCGUUACUCGGAAUCACUGGGCGUAAAGAGCGUGUAGGCGGGUUGGAAAGUCAGGUGUGAAAUCCUACAGCUUAACUGUAGAACUGCACUUGAAACUUCUAAUCUAGAGUAUGGGAGGGGGAGAUGGAAUUAGUGGUGUAGGGGUAAAAUCCGUAGAUAUCACUAGGAAUACCUAAAGCGAAGGCGAUCUCCUGGAACAUUACUGACGCUAAGGCGUGAAAGCGUGGGGAGCAAACAGGAUUAGAUACCCUCGUAGUC